CGUUAUCCGGAAUCAUUGGGCGUAAAGCGCCUGUAGGUUGUUUAAUAAGUCUGUUGUUAAAGACUAGGGCUCAACCCUAGAAAAGCAAUGGAAACUGUUAGACUAGAGUAUGGCAGGGGUAGAGGGAAUUUCUAGUGUAGCGGUGAAAUGCGUAGAUAUUAGAAAGAACACCGGUGGCGAAAGCGCUCUACUGGACCAUUACUGACACUCAGAGGCGAAAGCUAGGGUAGCAAAAGGGAUUAGAUACCCCUGUAGUCCUAGCCGUAAACGAUGGAUACUAGAUGUUGUAUGUUAUUUACAGUAUCGUAGCUAACGCGUUAAGUAUCCCGCCUGGGGAGUACGCUCGCAAGGGUGAAACUCAAAGGAAUUGACGGGGGCCCGCACAAGCGGUGGAGCAUGUGGUUUAAUUCGAUGCAACGCGAAGAACCUUACCAGGGCUUGACAUACUACAGAUUCUUUUGAGAGAGAGAAGUGCCUUCGGGAAUGUAGAUACAGGUGGUGCAUGGCUGUCGUCAGCUCGUGUCGUGAGAUGUUGGGUUAAGUCCCGCAACGAGCGCAACCCUUAUUUUUAGUUACCAAUUCGUUGGGUUCUCUAGAAAGACUGCCGGUGACAAACCGGAGGAAGGUGAGGAUGACGUCAAGUCAGCAUGCCCCUUAUGUCCCGGGCUACACACGUGCUACAAUGGCUAAGACAAAGAGUUGCGAGCUCGCGAGAGUAAGCUAAUCUCAUAAACUUAGCCUAAGUUCAGAUUGUAGGCUGCAA
rnacentral:rRNA from 1 species